CCACAUGUGUAACCCAGAGACCCGGGUUCAGACCGAUAACCCGGAAACACUGGACCCGACUCCUCCUCUGCGGAACAGCGACACCAGCGGCGGGAGGCCGAACUACACCAAUCAAUCAGGAAGGGCUUACCUGGUGGAGCGAUGAACCCGGCGACGACCUGCAGAACAACAGCGGAAAUGACUGAAAAACACAACCGGCACUGAGUUUGUGUGCAAGGAGACAUUCUGCAUGUGGUCGAGUCCCGAGGUCACAAGCAGCCGGAGGACACGCGAGGCAGAGGACGAGGGGGUCUUGGUCUUGGGUUUGACACCUUGAAUAAUAACCGUUAAGAUGAAGUGCAGGUCUUUCUUUCUGAGACACAGCUGCUCUGCUUAAUGCAGCUCUGACGGCUCCUGGUGGAUCGCACCUGCUCUGGAUCCAAACCUGCUCUGGAUCCAAACCUGCUCUGGUUCUUUCAUCCAAAACGUCAAGAACAAAAAAAGACUUUCAGUAUUUUAAAGGAAGAACAUUUUAUUUGGACAACUGUUGUUACACCUUUUUGUUUAAAUAAAGAAAGUUUGGAAAAACAAAGAACCCCAUUAUUAUGACGUCAGAAGUGAUGACAGCACAGAAAGAGAAACGGUCCCCGUGUCCUUAUUAAAGCUGAUCACCACACCGACAUGUUGUUGAGUUAUUAGAGUGCUGAGUUCACGUGUUAUUGGAAACUUCAGCGUCUGUAUGUGCUGACCUGACGCUUUAAAAGGCUCCUCUGGAUGUGAAUGAAAUGAAACGAAGCGUUCCCUUUAAAUGAAA